rnacentral:rRNA from 1 species
GUCCAUAGCCAUGCCACCCUGAACAAGCUCAAUCCCAUCUGAUCUCGGAAGCUAAGCAGGGUCGGGCCUGGUUAGUACUUGGUUGGGAGACCACCUAGGAAGAUCAGGUGCUGUAAAAA